rnacentral:rRNA from 1 species
GCAGAACGCGAAGAACCUUACCUGGGCUAGAAAGCGCAAGAACCUCGGUGAAAACUGAGGGUGCCCUUCGGGGAACUUGUGAUUAGGUGCUGCAUGGCUGUCGUCAGCUCGUGUCGUGAGAUGUUGGGUUAAGUCCCGCAACGAGCGCAACCCUUGCUGUUAGUUGCCAUCAUUAAGUUGGGCACUCUAACAGGACUGCCGACCUUUAAGUCGGAGGAAGGUGGGGAUGACGUCAAGUCCUCAUGGCCCUUACGUCCAGGGCUACACACGUGCUACAAUGACCGGUACAAAGGGUUGCCAAACCGCGAGGUGGAGCCAAUCCCAAAAAGCCGGCCUCAGUACGGAUAAGAGUCUGCAACUCGACUCUUUGAAGGCGGAAUCGCUAGUAAUCCCUGAUCAGCAUAGCAGGGGUGAAUACGUUCCCGGGUCUUGUACACACCG